rnacentral:rRNA from 1 species
UGCAGUCGAGCGGACUUAAAAGACUCUUGCGUUUCUUUGAUAUCGGCGGACGGCGUGAGUAACACACGGGCAACCUGCCUGUGAGACAGUGAUAACUUUCCGAAACCCCAGCUAAUACCGCAUAAUCCUUUUCUACUCAUGUGGAAUAGCUGAAAGACGGGUUACGCUGUCACUUACAGAUGGGCCCGCGGCGCAUUAUCUACUUGGUGAGGUAACGGCUCACCAAGGCGACGAUGCGUAGCCCACCUGAGAGGGUGAUCGGCCACACUGGGACUGAGACACGGCCCACACUCCUACGGGAGGCAGCAGUAGGGAAUCUUCCGCAAUGGACGAAAGUCUGACGGAGCAACGCCGCGUGAGUGAUGAAGGUUUUCGGAUCGUAAAACUCUGUUGUUAUGGAAGAACAAGUACCACAGUAACUGCUCGUACCUUGACGGUACCUAACCACAAAGCCACCGCUAACUACGUGCCAGCAGCCGCGGGAAUACGUACGUGGCAAGCGUUGUCCGGAAUUAUUGGGCGGAAAGCGCGCGCAGGCGGGCCUUUAAGUCUGAUGUGAAAGACCACGGCUCAACCGUGGAGGGUCAUUGGAAACUGGGGGACUUGAUUGCAGAACAAAAAAGUGGAAUUCCACGUGUAGCGGUGAAAUGCGUACAGAUGUGGAGGAACACCACUGGCGAAGGCGACUCUUUGGUCUGUAACUGACGCUGAGGCGCGGAAAACGUGGGGAGCGAACCGGGAUUAGAUACCCCUGGCUAGGCCACGCCCCUACACCAAUGAAUGCUUAGCUGAUUAGAUGGGAUGCCGCCCCUUUCAUUGCUGGGGGCAAACGCAUUUAAUCACUCCCCCCUGGGG